rnacentral:rRNA from 1 species
UACGUAGGGGGCGAGCGUUGUCCGGAUUUAUUGGGCGUAAAGAGCUCGUAGGCGGUUUGGUAAGUUGGAUGUGAAAUCUCCAGGCUCAACUUGGAGGGGUCAUUCGAUACUGCCAUGACUAGAGUUCGGUAGGGGAGUGUGGAAUUCCUGGUGGAGCGGUGAAAUGCGCAGAUAUCAGGAGGAACACCAAUGGCGAAGGCAGCACUCUGGGACGUGACUGACGCUGAGACGCGAAAGCGUGGGGAGCAAACAGG